rnacentral:rRNA from 1 species
GACGAACGCUGGCGGCGUGCUUAACACAUGCAAGUCGAACGGUGAAGCCCUUCGGGGUGGAUCAGUGGCGAACGGGUGAGUAACACGUGAGCAACCUGCCCCUGGCUCUGGGACAACCACUGGAAACGGUGGCUAAUACCGGAUACGACCUGCUCGGGCAUCCGAUGUGGGUGGAAAGUUUUUCGGCUGGGGAUGGGCUCGCGGCCUAUCAGCUUGUUGGUGGGGUGAUGGCCUACCAAGGCGACGACGGGUAGCCGGCCUGAGAGGGCGACCGGCCACACUGGGACUGAGACACGGCCCAGACUCCUACGGGAGGCAGCAGUGGGGAAUAUUGCACAAUGGGCGCAAGCCUGAUGCAGCGACGCCGCGUGAGGGAUGACGGCCUUCGGGUUGUAAACCUCUUUCAGCUCCGAAGAAGCCAUGCUUGUUGGUGUGGUGACGGUAGGAGCAGAAGAAGCACCGGCUAACUACGUGCCAGCAGCCGCAGUAAUAC